AUUAUAUCUCUGGGGCUGCUGCUGGAUAUCUGAUUAUUGUAGCGGCAAUUUCGGUGUUCUGCAUCUGUAGGAAACACAAAGACACACAUCAAGAGGUUCAGACUGGUGAAGAUGAGAUCACAUAUGCAGAUACAACAUUCCAUAAACGAAAAAAGCAUAAACAGAGAUCUACAGUAGAGGAUGAUGUGGUGUAUGCAGGAGUCAAGGGACAAUAAACAAACUCUCUGUGAUUCUCAGACCAACAUUCAGCUGUUUGAUCAUCUUCAGUCUCUGUUAUAACUUCAGGUUCUCAGUGUUUGUGAGUUUAAACUUUUUCCUUUGUGAAAUACAUUACAUGAAGCGAUUAUUAC